AGAACGUUAGCUCAAUUAGGUAAGAGCGGCACCCUUAUACGGUGAUGGUUAAAGGUUCAAGUCCUUUACGUUCUA
rnacentral:tRNA from 1 species